AAGCAACACAAAUCAUAUUUUUGUUUUCAAGAAUAUGGAGUUGAGCCUUUUUUUAUUCUUCUUCUUCACCAAGAGGGGGAUGGCUUGAAAUACAGAAGGACGGGAAAAAAAGUCUGGGUGUAAAUCCGGGCUUUUUUUUCUAUCAGGUCAAACAAAUUUAUACUUGAGCAAUAAUUAGUUAAUGCUUUAUUUUCGGAUAGAGCGUUAUUCUUUUUUGCUCGGUAGUCUGGCCUGAGUUUUUUUAGUCGUCCUCACACUCUUCGGAGGAAACAGCGAUUUUACUCUGACGAAGAUUUCUGGUAAUUUAUUUUACCAGAGCUUCCGACCU
rnacentral:misc_RNA from 1 species